GGUCGGCUCGACUCGGAGGUCGCAAGGUCGGGUGCGAAAUAAGGGUCGAGUGUGUGGUGUCGUAUUGGUACGUUGUCGUUGUUGUUUCCGACGGCAAGACACGCUAGGCCGCAUCGUUUCCAUUGCCCCCCGAGUACAUACGGUUAGUUGGCCGCUCUGCGUGGUACUAGGACUAUGACCGGGACGACCAGUAAAGACUACCUCAACCGUGACGGUGGACGAGUUGUCAGGGGCCAUUGUCGUGCCUGUACGAGAGCAACGAUAUAAAGUUCGCCCGGUAGUGGUUGCUAGGUUCCGUUCAGAACCCGAGAACCUUGCGGUCGUAGGGCGUAACGUUCACCCUCCCCCAGUUGACGUCGGAGUGUGUGGGUCCAGCGUAGUGCCUCGACUUGGAACGGCUCGUUCCCAACAGUCCAGGCUAAAGGGGUAGGGAACCCUUGGACUGCAAGGAACUCUGUGACCUGGAUAGGUGUUUAUCGAAGUGACCGCUCAAUGGAGGUGAGUUGUCAGAGGUAUCUGACGUUUUUGAAACCGACUCACUUUUGAGAAACGUUCCCUAGUAAGGUCGGUGUGAAUGUUUAUCAAGGUUGGAUUUAAGGAAUAUAGAUAGACCAUUGAGGGACUAUCCACUUUAGGGGGAAUUAUAUCCGAACGAAAGGUUUAAUAGUCUUAAUGUCUAACGGCUUUUAUUAGAGUGGCCUUGCUAGGGUGGUUCGGACUUUUUGUAGUCGGUCAAUCUUCAUUAGCUAGAACGUCUAUUAGUUGAGUACCCAUCGUAAGGAUUACUCUAUCCCGUUAAAGGCUUAGACCGUCAAAAUAAUGAACCACCAUAAUGGGAUAGUCCAUCAUAGGGUUGUUGGAACGAAUUAGUUAGAAUAGACGUUUAAAAUCUGAAUUCAUGGUUAUACUAUCCCUUGUGUAACGGUGGAUUAAAACCACUAUGGGAGGGCUCCGAGCGUACCGAGUGUAACCUGAUAUUGUUUAAACUUCCAGUGUAGGGUCGAAGCGAUCCAUUAUAAAGUCCCGAUAGUUGUAACCUGGAUAGUAAGUUGUUUAACUGUCGAGUUCAAGGUUCAAGAGAACCAUCCGAACCUUACAACUUGCUAGAUUUGGAAGUCUUAUUAUUUGAACUUCGUUUCCUAUAAGUUUCGACCCUUAAGUAUCUACGUAACUCGUUAACGUGUAGAGACGUUCAAGAACGUCAUCCAGUUUUAGUCAAUGUUCCUCGAUAUGGUUUAAGACAAUCGUUGGACAGUUCGUUUGAAGUUUAUGAUUGUAAUCUAUCUUUGCUGAACAGUCCCUGUUAUGGGUGAUUGUACCCCUUAGAAUCACCGAAUUGUAAUGAUUUGAACGCAUCUUUGUUCGAGUCGCCAAGGUAACUUCCUACCCAACCUUUCGACUUUUUAGAUCGUUAAAAUCAAGAACUACUCUUAUUGAAGUGACCGGGUUAUGGUUUGAGAUAGCCAUUAGAAUGAUUUAACUAUUUCUAGAUAGAUCGUUCGUUACUCAAACUUCCAGGCUAUGGGAGGUCAUACACUUUGAAGUGGUACGAGUGUUCCAACUUGGAAUCAAUAUUGUUAGAUGUCCCAUUGUAAGGAUCCCUCUAGAAGGUGUGACCGAGGUGUGACUGGUAUACACGUAAUAGGAUGUUAUUGAAUGUUCCUUGUUAUGGAUGUCUCAAGUCAUUAGAAUCCGUCGAUCAACUCGACAUAGAAAGUAGGUUGUUUGAAAGACCCCUUUAAGGAUCACGAAAUCCACUCACAGUUCUCGACGUCUAGGAGGUUUACCUGGUCUUAUAAGAGUGUCCCCUAUAAGGCCUCAGAAACUCGUUAGACUUCUCGAACCACCACGAGUUGAAAAGUGUAUUGUCAGACAGACCUAGGUAAGGCUGUAGUUAUUCACUGGACUUUAUAGACUUGGUCGAUCUGGAGAGAAUGUUGGUAUAAGUACCUCUUCAUGGUUCUUUACCCCAUAAACUUUUACAGUACCGACAAAGAGAGCUACCCUUAAGCCCUGAAACACCACCUCGUCACCUAGAAGCAUACGGGUGAACGAGACGAUAAAGAGUCUCUUUUCCUUCUGACAUGAUGAACCAGUCUCAUACAUAGGGAAACCAACCGAAGUGUAGUGAGCAUAAUAAGCGAAUGAAACAUGAGGACCUCUCGUUCUGCGGUUCUUCUUGUAUGAAUGACAACGAAAGAAAACCGUUCGUAAAAGGAUCUCAAUGGAUGUCCCUAGAUCGAGUUCGAUGUGUCUCGAAAAGACUCAGUUUGGACCAACCCUCUCCUUCGAUGCCAAGUCAUAUAUCUCCUUUCAAUUGAGUUCGUUUUUAUGUUCACCGAUAAUUUCAAAAACUGGAGCUACACUCUAUGCGUCUGUUUUCAAAGUAAAGUCUUACGCUCCAAAACUCUUCAUAAGCUGUAGCUUUAGAACAAAGAUAGAAUUGUCGUACGAGUUGUUAUCUAUUACUACCAUUGUGAAAGUUUCGAGAUUAAAUACUCAAGUACGGUUUGCCCUUAAACCUGUGUACCAAUGUGUGUUUUAGACGACCGCUUCCAGGUUCCUAAAACUCGAAUCCCGUUUCUUAUUCGUAGCGACAAUUAUAGCGACUACGUAACCGGAUGGACGUGGUACUAUAGUGUUCUAGGUAACAGGUAACGCUAAACUUUGGGUCGUUAUAGGAGGACCUGUGACUAUACUUACGUAUAAACCCACUGAAACCGUAACGUUUGGAGCAGGCAUUAAGUUUCAGUUGUAGUCAACCCGUAAGUUCAAGUCGGAGUUGAAGUCUACCGAGUUAACCUAACUUCCCUUGAUAUCCUAUAUAACGAGGUCUCAUACGAGUUUGACCGGUUCGUAGUUGAAUACCCCUGUAAAUGUCAAAACCUCAACAAGAAGAUCUCUACGACUAUCUAUUCUCUGGUUGUCUGGGAUAAAAACUGUUACUUGAGUUGUAACAGUUAAAGCGUCUCUCCUUGAGAGGUCUAGUCUAUGACGUAUAGUAACUACUAGUAGAGGUUCUUCUCACGUUCCCUAAGUAAGCACGUUGUCGCCUUCGUCCUUUGCACCAUAUAGUCACGAACCACAGGGAACACGUUCAUCGAGACAGAACAUGGGCAGACAAGGGUUCUCUUGCUUACUUGUACUCUCUUCAUCGGUACUUUAACGUCCGUCGGUCUUGUAGUAUAUAUACAACCUCGUUUGUUUGGUCUCGUUCGAUACGGUGUGAUCUCACU
rnacentral:rRNA from 1 species